rnacentral:rRNA from 1 species
ACCAGGGCUACGACACGUACUACAAUGGCCGGUACAAAGGGCAAGGCGACACAGCGAUGUGAAGCGAAUCCCGAAAAGCCGGUCUCAGUCCGGAUUGGAGUCUGCAACUCGACUCCAUGAAGUUGGAAUCGCUAGUAAUCGCGGAUCAGCACGCCGCGGUCGAAUACGUUCCCGGGCCUU